AUGAUAAAAAAAACUUUUACUCAUUUCUAAAAUGUGUAAUGUUUUCUUUUUUCAUCUCAUUUCAGGUCCACAUAAGGUGUGAUGUGUGGCUCAGGGAGGAUGUGUGGAAGAGGAUUGUAAAUGCACAAAAGACUCUUUGUAAAGGAGCUAGCUGUGGUCAUCUGGGGGACAGCUACCCUGAGGGGUAGCCAAGGGGGAAGCCAAACCCCCCUUAACCCCAACAAAAUCGAUGGCACUGAGAGGAAUGUUUACUGAUGAAAAACCUGGAUUAUCAUUUUGCAAGCGACUUUGAAUGCGGAUGCUGUCAUAACCCAACAGGAUUGGUGUUGUCGUUUCCAUGGAGGUUAUCAGACGUAGCCAUUUUUAAAUCCCCCGCCGUGCUCUGGUGAAUGCAGGCUGUUGUAGCUGUCACUAGCUGUACUCAUGAGAAAAGUCAGCCUAUGUUUUCCAAGUGGAUCUCAGACAGGCUGAGGCUGCUUCCAUUGGUGGCUGCAGGAGCGAAACUGACAAGGAAGAAGAGCGUGAGGAAAUACAUAAUGGAAAAAAUACAGGAGAUUGGUAAAAAAGAUAUGAUUAUUAUUAUUACUGUCAUUGAUGGCUUGUUGCUGUUUUUACAGUUUUUAUUGUUACAUAUUGUGGUAAUUGUAGGUUAUU